AAAAACUACAGCCAAAGGGCUGAAACACCUUGUUACACUGAAAAAAGUCACAUACAGUGUAAGAAAUAACAAUGCAAGGCUGUUUUACUGUUAUUUAUGGGACUGUUUUAAUAUUCACAUUUUCUGUUUACAGUAAUUCGAUGAAGAGCACUGAUUAUAAGAAAUUACUGUCUACAGGAAGCAUGCCAGAGGAAUUGUAACCUUUUUCCCUUACCUCAGUGGCCCGUACUUCAAAAAUGGCUAUUGUCUGUACAUGUCACUCUCCAAGGAACAUUAUUAUGAUGGCGAAAGUGGCACUGGGUACUUGGCCUGGAGGAUUAAAGCCAUACAGAGAUGCACUGCUAAAGAGAGGCGAUUAUCAUCUGGAGCACCAGGAGAUGGAUCAUCCAGUGAAGACCAGUGUGGCGGACCAACUGUCAGACGAGAGUUGCAGUUUGUUACAGAGAAGGUGCUGAGUGAGGAUGAGUGCAAGGAUACAAUCUCUCUGAUGAAAAAUUCAGCUGAUGAAGACACAUUCAAGAAGAAGAUGAAGUUGACAUUUGUUUAUCGACACAGCAUGGUCCUUGACCUCCUGCUGUCAAGCAACAUACCGUCUGUUUCUCCAUGUUUCAAAGAUAUCAAAGGCUUGAACGAACAGGAUUUUGUACUGAUGUUUGGUGAGGAUGUAUCAGGCAGGUUGCUGGAGAGGUGGCCAACAACAUUCAAAAGAAAGAUUAUCCAACAAGGCAGAAAGCUUCCUUCUACCAGUGACCUGAAAGAACUCUUGCUGGCAGCUGACUCACCUGAGGAUGCCACAGAAGUUAAUGCUGACAUUGGCUGGGACAGUGACCUCUCAGCAAUUCUAUUGCUAUUACACCUGAUUCCACCAUCUGGUCAGGGUCGGAAGAGACCAGGAAAGGUGUCAGCUUCUCAAGCAGAAAGGGGUCUUGUGGUCUUCAAGAAGACUGGAACAAAUAUCCAAGAGCACCUUGAUGCCAUCACUACCAGCACUCAACCCGACCUCCUGGCUGUUGGGGUGAAAAAGAAUGACAUCCACCAGUUCUUCAUUAUUCUUGACAAGAAUGUGAGAGGAGUAGGAAUAGUUUACUGCUAUUAUUUGCGGCUAUUUUUAUAAUCAUCAUUAACAUUUCAGUAUUAAUAGUGAUGUUGCAUUUAGAUGCAUUCAGAUGUUCAAAUAUAUGGUUAUAGUCUUUAUUACAGGUUCAGAAAGAACCACUUUAAACUGUGGAGUUGAAUCUAUAAUGUUAAUGUUCAUGCAGACUGCAGGGUGAAAGAGUAACUCUGUGCUAAAAGAAGACAGGAAGUUAUAUGUCUUUGAAGUUACAUGCUUUUGCAGGAAGUGAAACCAAAACCAGAGUUUGGAUGAUGCU
ensembl:lncRNA